rnacentral:rRNA from 1 species
GACAGAGGUGCCGAGCGUUAGGCGGAAUCACUGGGCUUAAAGCGUGCGCAGGCGGUCUGUUAAGACCGAUGUGAAAUCCCCGGGCUUAACCUGGGAACUGCAUUGGUGACUGGCAGGCUUUGAGUGUGGCAGAGGGAGGUAGAAUUCCACGUGUAGCAGUGAAAUGCGUAGAGAUGUGGAGGAAUACCGAUGGCGAAGGCAGCCUCCUGGGCCAACACUGACGCUCAUGCACGAAAGCGUGGGGAGCAAACAGG